rnacentral:rRNA from 1 species
CCCUUAGAUGUUCUGGGCCGCACGCGCGCUACACUGAUGCAUUCAACGAGUUUCUUCCUGGUCCGAGAGGAAUGGGUAACCUUUUGAAAGUGCAUCGUGAUAGGGAUAGACUAUUGCAAUUAUUGGUCUCCAACGAGGAAUUCCUAGUAAACGCAAGUCAUCAGCUUGCAUUGAUUACGUCCCUGCCCUUUGUACACACCGCCCGUCGCACCUACCGAUUGAAUGGUCCGGUGAAAUCUUCGGAUUGAGACUUUGAUUUGUUUACUCAAAACGCUGUUUCAAGAAGUUGAUUAAACCUUACCAUUUAGAGGAAGGUGAAGUCGUAACA